UUCAUAACACGUAGUCAAUCUCCCCUUAGGACGGGCAUAACCCUGGGAAACUGGGGCUAAUAUUUGAUAGAUGAAGGUCCCUGGAAUGACCCUCUGUGGAAAAGUUCUUGGAAAAAUGCUUCCAAGAGCGCCUAAGGAUGAGAUUGCGUCCGAUCAGGCUGUUGGUGGGGUAACGGCCCACCAAAUUUAUAACCGGUACGGGCCCUGAGAGGGGAAGCCCGGAGAUGGGAAUUGAGACAAGGUCCCAACCCUUACGGGGCGCAGCAGGCGCGAAAAUUCCACAAUGCGCGAAAGCGUGAUGGGGUUACCCCGAGUCCCGUCCGAUGAGGAUGGCUUUUCCCCAGUGUAAGGAGCUGGGGGAAUAAAGGGGGGGUAAGACUGGUGCCAGCAGCCGCGGUAAU
rnacentral:rRNA from 1 species